rnacentral:rRNA from 1 species
UACGGGGGGGGCUAGCGUUGUUCGGAAUUACUGGGCGUAAAGCGCACGUAGGCGGCUUUGUAAGUUAGAGGUGAAAGCCUGGGGCUCAACUCCAGAAUUGCCUUUAAGACUGCAUCGCUUGAACGUCGGAGAGGUGAGUGGAAUUACGAGUGUAGAGGUGAAAUUCGUAGAUAUCGGGAGGAAUACCAGUGGCGAAGGCGCUGACCUGGACGAAGAUUGACGCUGAGGUGCGAAAGCGCGGGGAGCAAACAGG